rnacentral:misc_RNA from 1 species
GGCAGAAGAGGUUUCACAUAGCAAGCUCACGCUCACCGCCACAAGUGCACAAGCUCGUGCGAAAGAGGCAAAAUAUCGGUGCUUGCGCCUGCAAACACGGCGGCGAUGACGGCGCCAGAGAGCAAAGGGUUCGCCGAGCUGUACCAUCAGCUACUUCAGGACGGCGUGCAGCUGCAGAAAGAGCUCGAGGCGUACUACCUGCGCCAAGAGGGGUACAUACGCAAACGUGUGGCGGUGCUCGAUGAAAUGCAGGAGAACAUCGCUGACGAGCGGCGAUGCUUGGAGUUACAACAUCAAGAGUGCCGUGCGCAGAUCAGCGCGGCACGGAAGCAGGCGGCAAGCUUCUUGUCUGAUGAACGGAAGGUUUCACAGGCGGUGCGACACGCACAACCGUUCCUCGCGGCUCAGGAGGCGGAGAUCGACAAGCGUCUUGAGGAGCUUCAGCGGGAGAAGGAGAGAGAGGAUACCGCACUUCUGAACGUGAUGGCGCGGCAGGAGGCGCUGGGCAAACAGGAGGCUCUACUCGCCUCCCGUGAGCGACAGAGGUUUUUAGAAGAGCAAGACCUGCAAAAGGCGCUGAUUGAGAUGCGCUCCCUCAACCGAGAGAUGGAGGAGCGGCGCAAGUCACUCCUGCGCAAGCACGGCACAGUGGCCGAGUGGGACCGCAAGCUCGAGUCUCGCGAGCGCGAGCUGUUGGUCUGCCAAGAUCAGCUGCGAGAGAACUUAAAGGCGCUGGAGCAAGAGGAGAAUGCACUUGGUAUUCACCCAGCGCAACGCACUGCUGUGGCCCCGGCCGUGUCUCAGCGAACAGUCAUGGACGACCAUGACAUGUCCAUUGAGCACGACAGCGCCUGCGAGGAGAUCGACUACGAGGACUGAGCAACGGGCAUAGCGCAGCAGUGGUUACCGACGAUGCUUCAUCGUUGGUGGCUGCUGCUGCUGCUGCUGCCGCUGGCGAUAGCGGCACUUUUUUCUUUUUGUCUUCUCCGCGUGCUCUGCUUGCGUUGUGUAUCCCCUGUACACAGAUUGGAGGUGGAUUUCGUGUGUCACCGCUUCGCUUUACGCCAUCUCCCUGUGUAUGUGUGCGCGUUCUCUGACUAAGCGAGGCCAGGGCACUGAAUGAGAUUGAGAGAGGCGCGCCUGGAAAGGUCCCGUGCGAGUUUUGAGGGCGUCUCUGAUGAAGGCGUGCCCGUGCUGCUGCAUCUUCCUUAGCACAUUUACUCCAGCAACACAAAGGAAAGGCACACAGACAACGGCGGCGGAGAGGCAGCCGCCAUGAUCGUGCGCGCAUAUGCGCGCGCGCCUACACGGCAGCGGAAGGGCUCAAGCUAAGCACGAAACGAAUGACCGUCGCGGUGAGGCGGACAAAAGCGAGAGAACAAAGGGCAGCGUGCAGUCCAUACGGGAGGUGCUGCCGUCCACGGCCCUUUCACUUCCACGUGACUCCCACAGAUGCACGGAGCGACAGGGUUCGGCGUGCGUGAUGCAUGGAUUCCUCUUCAUCGCUGCCAUUGUGACGCCACUCUCUCAACUCACGAACUCGUCCGAUGCCACUCGGGCGCACACAG